UCAUGCCCUGUAACAAGCUGUCCUGAGAUUAUACUAAAUAUUUUUCAAUAGUAGCAACUGUUAACUUCCAAAUUACAGAAAUUGCUGUACUUUGAAGGUUAACAGUUGUGAAAGAUACUGUAUAAAUAUUGAAGUGUUAAUGUUUUGUGUUGUAUUUUCUUUGUUGAUUUAUUUUGGAGUUUUAUGAAUUAUUUGAAUGUUACUUUUAGAGAUACUUUCCAAAGCUGUGCUAUACCAGGCACCUUGGGAGUGAUUCCUGCUAAAGAAAGGCAGCUAAAAAGUACUCAGCCAGUGCAGACACAUUCUGUGAGAAAACAGGGGAGAAAAGGGUGCUGAUAAGGGUGCUGAUAAGUGUGCUGUUCACUCCUCCCACCUCUUUGUUCUCAAAGGAAUUGAAAUCCAAUGACCCUGUGCCACUGGUGGGAUAGAGAAGAAUAUGGAGAGAGAAGGUCUAAAAUUCUGGAGAUUCAUGAAAGGGAAGAAAAA